GACGACACUGCCACUCACCGACUACCGACCACCUUUCCUCUCCUCUUGCUGUCCUCUCUUCUCUCGACCACCCACCAUUGACUCUUUUCUCUGGUUGUCCUGUUUCACCUCUCUCCUCUUGCGACGACAUUGUAGCCAUUCAGAGGUAAAGACCACCGACCACUGACUCUCUUCUCUCGCCCUCUUGUUUCGUCUCUCUCUUCUUUCGACAACAUCGCAGCCAUUCAGAGAGAACAAUAUCUGCCAUAGACAUUCAACGAAUUGCAAAGGAGCUGGGCCAGAGCUUUAUUGACAAGGAGAUUCAAGAGAUAAUAGAGGAAGCAGAUCGUGAUCGAUUGGGGUGAAAAAGCUAUGGAGCUAAAGAGGAUAAAUAAGACUAUAUUACUCCGAUGGAAUUGUAACAAGGACCUCUGACAUUCCAACACAGCUGGUUGUGAAAGUAGAUUGGAUUUGUUGUAUCAUCCAUGAUAUUCUGGUAUCAACAAUAAGUGCCUUCAGCCAUAGGUUAUCCUUACAUGGGUGGGUCUGUUGGGUGCUAGCCUUGCUAGAUUGGUGGGUCCAAAUCGGCAACAUCACGGCAACAAAUCAUCUGUUUCUUAAUGCUCAAUAGUGGUGAUUUGCAGAAUGAUGAGUUGUGGUGUAGAGGAUGUGAGCAGUGGGUUUUGUUUUGGGGCUGAAGAUUCAUAAUGGAAUGAUUCCCACUCACUCCCACCCCGUAUCUCAAUUGAAAUUUUGGUUUUGUUUAAUUGAUACAAAGGUGUAUAAAAGUGGCAGUUGUCCAUGAUAUUGCAGAAGAUAACAUCUUUGCAUUUACAUUUUUUUAUUGGGUUUCUCAUUACGCAUUCUUUUGCUGUGAUGAGUAUAUUGAAGAAACACAAUGAUAGUGAGAAUUUUGAGUAAAUUGUUGUAUAAUAAUUAAUUGGGCAAAGCUUUUUGUCAUGAGCCUGCCUGUAAUGGGAUUCCAAAUUAGAUGUAAUUAUUUAUUUUCAUU